rnacentral:rRNA from 1 species
UGACCUACGGGGCGCAGCAGUCGGGAAUAUUGCGCAAUGGAGGAAACUCUGACGCAGUGACGCCGCGUAUAGGAAGAAGGCUUUCGGAUUGUAAACUCUUGUCGUUAGGGAAGAUAAAAGACUGUACCUAAGGAGGAAGCCCCGGCUAACCAUGUGCCAGCAGCCGCGGUAAUACAUAGGGGGCAAGCGUUAUCCGGAAUUAUUGGGUGUAAAGGGUGCGUAGACGGGGAAACAAGUUGGUUGUGCAAUCCCUCGGCUCAA